UGGGGAAUAUUGCGCAAUGGGCGAAAGCCUGACGCAGCAACGCCGCGUGAGUGAUGAAGGCCCUCGGGUCGUAAAGCUCUGUCGGAGGGAACGAAUGCUCCUGAAGUUAACAGCCUCAGGAGGUGACGGUACCCUCAAAGGAAGCACCGGCUAACUCUGUGCCAGCAGCCGCGGUAAUACAGAGGGUGCAAGCGUUGUUCGGAAUCACUGGGCGUAAAGCGCACGUAGGCGGAUAGUUAAGUCAGGGGUGAAAUCCUGGGGCUCAACCCCAGAACUGCCUUUGAUACUGGCUGUCUCGAGGUCGAGAGAGGUUGGUGGAAUUCCUAGUGUAGAGGUGAAAUUCGUAGAUAUUAGGAAGAACACCAGUGGCGAAGGCGGCCAACUGGCUCGAUACUGACGCUGAGGUGCGAAAGCGUGGGGAGCAAACAGGAUUAGAUACCCUAGUAGUCCCUGAGCGGGCUGGCAAGGCGCAU
rnacentral:rRNA from 1 species